GACGAACGCUGGCGGCGUGCUUAACACAUGCAAGUCGAACGGAAGGGCCCUGCUUUUGUGGGGUGCUCGAGUGGCGAACGGGUGAGUAACACGUGAGUAACCUGCCCUUGACUUUGGGAUAACUUCAGGAAACUGGGGCUAAUACCGGAUAGGAGCUCCUGCUGCAUGGUGGGGGUUGGAAAGUUUCGGCGGUUGGGGAUGGACUCGCGGCUUAUCAGCUUGUUGGUGGGGUAGUGGCUUACCAAGGCUUUGACGGGUAGCCGGCCUGAGAGGGUGACCGGCCACAUUGGGACUGAGAUACGGCCCAGACUCUUACGGGAGGCAGCAGUGGGGAAUAUUGCACAAUGGGCGGAAGCCUGAUGCAGCAACGCCGCGUGCGGGAUGACGGCCUUCGGGUUGUAAACCGCUUUCGCCUGUGACGAAGCGUGAGUGACGGUAAUGGGUAAAGAAGCACCGGCUAACUACGUG
rnacentral:rRNA from 1 species